rnacentral:rRNA from 1 species
UACGUAGGGUGCAAGCGUUGUCCGGAAUUAUUGGGCGUAAAGAGCGUGUAGGCGGCCCGACAAGUCCGCUGUGAAAGUCCCGGGCUCAACCCUGGAAUGCCGGUGGAUACUGUCGGGCUAGAGUCCGGAAGGGGCGAGUGGAAUUCCUGGUGUAGCGGUGAAAUGCGCAGAUAUCAGGAGGAACACCAAUGGCGAAGGCAGCUCGCUGGGACGGGACUGACGCUGAGACGCGAAAGCGUGGGGAGCAAACAGG